GACGAACGCUGGCGGCGUGCUUAACACAUGCAAGUCGAACGCUGAAGCUUGGUGCUUGCACUGUGUGGAUGAGUGGCGAACGGGUGAGUAAUACGUGAGUAACCUGCCCUUGACUCUGGGAUAAGCCUGGGAAACUGGGUCUAAUACUGGAUACGACAUGCCACUGCAUGGUGGUGUGUGGAAAGGGUUUUACUGGUUUUGGAUGGGCUCACGGCCUAUCAGCUUGUUGGUGGGGUAAUGGCCUACCAAGGCGACGACGGGUAGCCGGCCUGAGAGGGUGACCGGCCACACUGGGACUGAGACACGGCCCAGACUCCUACGGGAGGCAGCAGUGGGGAAUAUUGCACAAUGGGCGGAAGCCUGAUGCAGCGACGCCGCGUGAGGGAUGACGGCCUUCGGGUUGUAAACCUCUUUCAGCACGGAAGAAGCGAGAGUGACGGUACGUGCAGAAGAAGCGCCGGCUAACUACGUG
rnacentral:rRNA from 1 species